rnacentral:rRNA from 1 species
GACGGAGGGCGCAAGCGUUAAUCGGAUUUAUUGGGCGUAAAGGGCGCGUAGGUGGGAAUGUAAGUCGGAUGUGAAAUCCCGGGGCUCAACUCCGGAACGGCAUUCGAAACUACAUUCCUCGAGGGUAGAAGGAGAGAACGGAAUUCCACGUGUAGCGGUGAAAUGCGUAGAUAUGUGGAAGAACACCGGUGGCGAAGGCGGUUCUCUAUUUUAUUCCUGACACUGAGGCGCGAAAGCAAGGGGAUCAAACAGG